rnacentral:rRNA from 1 species
CCUACGGGGGGCAGCAGUGGGGAAUCUUAGACAAUGGGGGAAACCCUGAUCUAGCGAUGCCGCGUGAGUGAUGAAGGCCCUAGGGUCGUAAAGCUCUUUCGCCAGGGAUGAUAAUGACAGUACCUGGUAAAGAAACCCCGGCUAACUCCGUGCCAGCAGCCGCGGUAAUACGGAGGGGGUUAGCGUUGUUCGGAAUUACUGGGCGUAAAGCGCGCGUAGGCGGACUAUUAAGUCAGGGGUGAAAUCCCGGGGCUCAACCCCGGAACUGCCUUUGAUACUGGUAGUCUAGAGUUCGAGAGAGGUGAGUGGAAUUCCGAGUGUAGAGGUGAAAUUCGUAGAUAUUCGGAGGAACACCAGUGGCGAAGGCGGCUCACUGGCUCGAUACUGACGCUGAGGUGCGAAAGUGUGGGGAGCAAACAGGAUUAGAUACCCCCGUAGUC